rnacentral:rRNA from 1 species
GAGUUUGAUCAUGGCUCAGGAGGAACGCCGGCGGCGUGCCCAACACAUGCAAGUCGAGCGAGAAAUAGUCAGACGGAGAUUUCGGUUGAAGGAUGGUUAUGGAAAGCGGCGGACGGGUGAGUAACGCGUAGGCAACCUGCCUCAUGCAGAGGGAUAGCCUCGGGAAACCGGGAUUAAGACCUCAUAAGGCCAAGGGGACACAUGUUUUCGUGGCCAAAGAUUUAUCGGCAUGAGAUGGGCCUGCGUCUGAUUAGCUGGUUGGUGAGGUAACGGCUCACCAAGGCGACGAUCAGUAGCCGACCUGAGAGGGUAAACGGCCACAUUGGAACUGAGACACGGUCCAAACUCCUACGGGAGGCAGCAGUGGGGGAUAUUGCACAAUGGGCGAAAGCCUGAUGCAGCAACGCCGCGUGAGCGAAGAAGGCCUUUGGGUCGUAAAGCUCUGUCGAUAGGGAAGAAAGAGAUGACG